rnacentral:sRNA from 1 species
GCCAGACGCGGUGGCGCACGUCUGUAAUUCCAUUGACUGGGGAGGUUGAGGCGGAAGGAUCACAAGUUCGAGGUCAGUCUCCGCAACUUAGCGAGGCCCUCACUAACUUAGCAAGACUCUGUCUCUA